rnacentral:antisense_RNA from 1 species
UGUAAGCGUUGAGCGUGCGCUGGCACAGCAGGGAGCGGACGCAGUCUUGUUUAUCAAAACGGAUAAUGCCGACCAUUUCGUCCUCUUCGAAGCGUUCCAACGCAUCACUCAGGCCGGAUUUCACCCCACGUGGCAAAUCGCACUGAGUAAUAUCCCCAUUGACGAUCACCGUCACAUUCUCACCCAAACGAGUG